AUCCAGCUGAUGAGUCCUUAAUAGGACAAAACUCGCAUCCUGGAU
rfam:Schistosoma mansoni strain Puerto Rico chromosome 1, complete genome